GGUUCUGUGACGUCAUCGCCCAAAGCUUCGCGGCCCUGGGAUCUUUAAAGACAGGCUUGGUUCGUGUGCGCAUCAUCUGUUUGCAAGCUGUUCCAUCAUCGGUCCAGGAAGCAUCCCUGCGCAGGCUACUGCGUGACCUGAAGGAAAACCCCUCUACAGCUCUGCGCGCCAACUCUUCGCUCAUAACCGUUUCUCCCCCAGAGCUAGUAGCUCAGCUUCCUAACUUUGUAGGACAAGGGCGCUUAGAGAAACGUACAGAACGAAGAAUUCAGAUUCUUUCAGGACAGUUGCAGCAUGAAUGUGUAUGCUCGUGACUAUUCGUAAGAAUACCUAACCUAUUUGUUGAGCACCUGCUAUGCGCCGAAUCUCAUGAGACCCGCUAGGUGUACAUCUUGAGAUUAGGACAGACACCAUCCUGCCCUCGUGGAGCCUGCAAUCUGUGAGGGGGCGCAGGUCCUUAAAUAAGCAAGAUUUUAAUGCAGUGGAGAAACAGAGCAAGUUAAAGAGAGGGAGGGGUACUCUAGGAAGGUGUUGAGCCGAAACCUGAAAAAUGAGCAUUAUUCAGACAGGCAAAGAGCUGGGGAAGAAUUAUAUGCCACACCCUCCAAAGUGCAUGGUACACGCUAGGUUCUCAAUAAAUAUUUGUUCCAUCUGCGUCCUUCCUUUCCUUCCCCAUGCACAGCUUUAGAUCACAUCCUUCCCCCCCUUCGAAAUCGUUAUCAAUGCCUUUCAGAACAUCCUUCCUAUGUGAAGAUGUACAGGAGACAAGGCGACGUUCAGUGGCAGGACAAGCUGUUCAGCUGCUGAGACAGAAGACACGAGGUACAUGCCGAUGACCUGGUUCCAUGGCUGAAUCUUGACGACUUACCUCCUUCUGUAUUUGUGAACUGGGUUAAAAGUCUGGGCACUCAGCCUGGCCUUCUGACUCCCUUCUGUUUAUGAAGCAGAAAAUUGGAUCUGGAGUUCGUCUUUAUUAGGAUCCUAAAGAUAUUAUGUCAUCUGAAUCAAAGGAGAAGUGAAAAAUGGCCCUAGACUUAUCUGAAGAGACUUCCCUGUGCGACCUUAGGCAGAGGGUGACACUUUGCCUUUCUUGAUUCUCAGUGAUUCCAAGUGCUGAACAUGGAGAAUGUUCUCAGAGUCCCAUAAGCUGAUGGAGGUGAAUACACCUUCCAUGGAAUGCUCGUGUCCUGGCUCUCUCAGACUGCUCAUCUUCAACAUUUCCAAGCCUGUUUUUGGAUGGAGAGAUUUAUUACAUAACAGUACUCUUGGUGUUUAAAAAAGAAGAAGUAUGUGGAAUAUUCCCUUGUUGAAAUUACAGUCUGAGAACAAACCCAGAACAUCCAGGACCCACAGACAGCACUGAGGAAUGCUGGAAUAUUCCAUGGCUACUCAUCAUCUGAAGAAAAAGGAGAGGAGGAGUCUGAAUUCAAGAAUCUGCAAUUUACCUUGAAAAUAUCACUCUUCUCCUCCUCAUCACACCUUCAGUGUGUAAAGCACUUUGAUGUUUCAUUCGAAAAUAUUCAUCAAGUCCGUUCUGUAUGCUUACAUGCAGUACCCAGGAUCCUCCACAGAGAAUUAACCCUUUUGACAACACAAAGUAGGGCAGUGUAGACAAGUCACAUGACUGAUCCAAAAAUCACACAGAAAGUCACUGAGUGCUCGUCACCUCUGAAAUAUUUGACCUCCCCUCAUGGACAAUUCAUGUCUUUCUUCCUUGCUUUAUAUUUUUCUCCUUAGCAUUGAUCCCUUUCCUAUACAUUAUGUAUUUUA